AUUGAACGCUGGCGGCAUGCCUUACACAUGCAAGUCGAACGGCAGCACGGGAGCAAUCCUGGUGGCGAGUGGCGAACGGGUGAGUAAUAUAUCGGAACGUGCCCAGUAGUGGGGGAUAGCCCGGCGAAAGCCGGAUUAAUACCGCAUGAGACCUGAGGGUGAAAGCGGGGGAUCGCAAGACCUCGCGCUAUUGGAGCGGCCGAUAUCAGAUGAGCUAGUUGGUGGGGUAAAGGCCUACCAAGGCAACGAUCUGUAGUUGGUCUGAGAGGACGACCAGCCACACUGGGACUGAGCCACGGCCCAGACUCGUACGGGAGGCAGCAGUGGGGAAUUUUGGACAAUGGGCGCAAGCCUGAUCCAGCAAUGCCGCGUGCAGGAAGAAGGCCUUCGGGUUGUAGACUGCUUUUGUCAGGGAAGAAAUCCCUUGGGAUAAUACCUCGGGGGGAUGACGGUACCUGAAGAAUAAGCACCGGCUAACUACGUGCCAGCCGCCGCCGUAAGAC
rnacentral:rRNA from 1 species